rnacentral:rRNA from 1 species
GCGGUAAGCUGCGAAAAGCUCCGGGGAGUGGCAAGCACACAUUGAUCCGGAGAUGUCCGAAUGGAGCAAUCCACAUGAGUGAAGCUCAUGUAUCAUAUACUGAAUAAAUAGGUAUAUGAGGGGAACCGUCUGAACUGAAACAUCUAAGUAGGACGAGGAAAAGAAAUCAACCGAGAUUCCGCUAGUAGUGGCGAGCGAACGCGGAAGAGGCUAAACCAGAGUCAGCAAUGACUUUGGGGUUUGGACUGCAUUUAGUAUCAAUGAGGUCUAGUCGAAGUACAUGGGAAGGUACAUCGAAGAGGGUGAGAAUCCCGUAGACGAAAGAUCAAGUUGGCGAGCAGUAUCCAGAGUACCGCCGGACACGUGAAACCCGGUGGGAAUGCGGGGGGACCAUCCUCCAAGCCUAAAUACUACCUGAUGACCGAUAGCGCAUAGUACUGUGAAGGAAAGGUGAAAAGAACCCCGGGAGGGGAGUGAAAGAGAGCCUGAAACCCUGUGCUUACAAGCACACAGAGCACGUCAAAGUGUGAUGUGGUACCUAUUGUAGAAUGGUCCGGCGAGUUAUUUUAUGCAGCGAGGUUAAGGACUUAAGGUCUGUAGCCGAAGCGAAAGCGAGUGUUAAUAGCACGAAACAGUUGCAUGCAAUAGACCCGAAACCGGGUGACCUAUCCAUGUCCAGGCUGAAGUGAGGGUAAAACCUCAUGGAGGGCCGAACCGACUCCCGUUGAAAUGGUAGCGGAUGAGGUGUGGAUAGCGGAGAAAUUCCAAUCGAACCCGGAUAUAGCUGGUUCUCCCCGAAACCGUUUUAGGACGGGCCUCGUGUGAAGAUUAUCGGAGGUAAAGCACUGAAUAGCCUAGGGGGCGAGAGCCUACCGAAGCUUAUCAAACUCUGAAUGCCGAAUAAUCGUUUCACGGGAGUCAGACUGUGUGAGAUAAGUUUCAUAGUCAAAAGGGAAACAGCCCAGACCCACAGCUAAGGUCCCAAAGUGUAUUUAAGUGGAAAACGAUGUGAAGUUGCGUAGACAACCAGGAUGUUGGCUUAGAAGCAGCCACUCAUUAAAAGAGUGCGUAAUAGCUCACUGGUCGAGUGACUUUGCGCGGAAAAUUUAACGGGGCUAAAAUACACACCGAAGCUUGGGCUUGACGCAUAGCGUCAGGGGUAGGGGAGCGUCGUGUAAGGGGCGAAGUCGUAUCGUAAGGGACGGUGGACUUUACACGAGUGAGAAUGCCGGAAUGAGUAGCGAGAAUUAUGUGAGAAUCAUAAUGGUCGAAAGCCUAAGGUUUUUGGAGGAAGGUUCGUCCGCUCCAAGUAAGCCGGGAGCUAAGGUCAGGCGGAAACGCGUAGCCGAUGCACAUACGGUUGAAAUUCCGUAGCCUCAGAAAGAUUUAAGCAGAGGGACACUUUGAAAGGACUGUAGCCGGGUGUUGGUUACCCCGGUCGUAAGGGAACGAAAUUAAGUAGUGAAGGCAGUCUGGACGGAGGCGAGAAAAGCUCUGUGUAUAUCUAAUGAGCCCGUACCGCAAACCGACACAGGUAGGUGGGAUGAGAAUUCUAAGACCAACGGGAGAAGGGUAGUUAAGGAACUCGGCAAAUUGUCCCCGUAACUUCGGAAUAAGGGGAGCCUGCGAAAGCAGGCCGCAGAGAAUUGGCCCAGGCGACUGUUUAUCAAAAACACAGCUCUAUGCUAAAUCGAAAGAUGACGUAUAUGGGGUGACACCUGCCCGGUGCUGGAAGGUUAAGAGGAGAUGUGAGAGCAUUGAAUUGAAGCCCCAGUAAACGGCGGCCGUAACUAUAACGGUCCUAAGGUAGCGAAAUUCCUUGUCAGGUAAGUUCUGACCC